AUGGCUCAGAUUGAACGCUGGCGGCAGGCCUAACACAUGCAAGUCGAGCGGUAGAGAGAAGCUUGCUUCUCUUGAGAGCGGCGGACGGGUGAGUAAUGCCUAGGAAUCUGCCUGGUAGUGGGGGAUAACGUUCGGAAACGGACGCUAAUACCGCAUACGUCCUACGGGAGAAAGCAGGGGACCUUCGGGCCUUGCGCUAUCAGAUGAGCCUAGGUCGGAUUAGCUAGUUGGUGAGGUAAUGGCUCACCAAGGCGACGAUCCGUAACUGGUCUGAGAGGAUGAUCAGUCACACUGGAACUGAGACACGGUCCAGACUCCUACGGGAGGCAGCAGUGGGGAAUAUUGGACAAUGGGCGAAAGCCUGAUCCAGCCAUGCCGCGUGUGUGAAGAAGGUCUUCGGAUUGUAAAGCACUUUAAGUUGGGAGGAAGGGUUGUAGAUUAAUACUCUCAAUUUGGUCAC
rnacentral:rRNA from 1 species